rnacentral:rRNA from 1 species
CCUACGGGAGGCAGCAGUGAGGAAUAUUGGUCAAUGGCCGAGAGGCUGAACCAGCCAAGUCGCGUGAGGGAAGACGGCCCUACGGGUUGUAAACCUCUUUUGUCGGGGAGCAAAGCGAACCACGUGUGGUUCAUUGAGAGUACCCGAAGAAAAAGCAUCGGCUAACUCCGUGCCAGCAGCCGCGGUAAUACGGAGGAUGCGAGCGUUAUCCGGAUUUAUUGGGUUUAAAGGGUGCGCAGGCGGGGGUUGAAGUCAGCGGUGAAAUUUCGGGGCUCAAACCCCGUACUGCCGUUGAAACUGGAUGCCUUGAGUGCGCGUGAAGUAGGCGGAAUGCGUGGUGUAGCGGUGAAAUGCAUAGAUAUCACGCAGAACUCCGAUUGCGAAGGCAGCAUACCGGGGCGCAACUGACGCUGAUGCACGAAAGCGUGGGUAUCGAACAGGAUUAGAUACCCGUGUAGUC